ensembl:lincRNA
CUGGUUCUGAACAUUUUCAGUUUGCUGUGCCCUACUUAACUGAGUGUGUGCUAUAUGGCAGAUGCUUCGCUGGAUUUACUGAAGUAAACAAAGAUGUAGUCAAGAAAAACAGACAGUGCUCCAGUGUUUCCAGCCCUGUGGCCAACCAGGUCCAGAGAUGAACUGCGCACUCUAGUCAGUUCCCUUGGCACCGUGUGUGAGCGCUGUGGGCCUCUGGGGAAGAGGCCGGAAGUGACUAGAUGCAGGAAGAGUGAGCAGAACAGCAGCGAUAACACCAGAUCGUGUUUUACCAGCUGAGUCCAGAAGAAGAAAGGAGGCUGAACCGUUCUGACCAGAGACCCUUCUGCUGCUCUGGCUCUACAUCUGAAACCUGGGACCAGUGGAGACUGAAGGACACAGCCCCAGUGUGCCAAGGGCCAGACACGAGAAGGAAGCCCUGCUUGUGCACUCUACCACCUAGCAAGCCAGAGUUUGCAUGCUACCUGGCAGGAGCUCCAAGACAAUCUUCAUCACCUGGAACCAUUCUGAGAGGGAAAGAAGAAGGGGCAGAUGCUGAAGAAAUUCCAGGAGCUUCUAAUGAAUUAAAGCUGCACUUGCCUGAAGAAGCCAGCCAAGUUACUGACUAGUUUGCAAAUAAUUAUGUGCAUGGAAGGAUAAGAAGAUAUGCAAUCAUGUUGCUUUUCAGUCACCACUAUUAUUUCUGCCAAAUUUGUUGUCUGUAUAUGAAUGCAUGAGAAAUUAAUUUCUGAAUGCUCAAAUUUACAUAGAAACAUAGCAUGGAAGAUGGGAAAAUUUAAAAGGAAAUUCACAUGUUCAUGUAUACCUAAUUAGAAUAACUGCAAAAAAGAGCAAUGUCACACAGGAAAUGAAUGUGAAUGUGUUCCCUGAAGAGAGCUUUGCCUUAAAAAGAAAAAGAAAAGCAGUUAUUCAUUGUCAUGCAAGACUUCAAAGUAGAGUCAAUGAUUAAAAGUUGCCACUGCCCACAAUCUAGCCUUGUAAUACAUUCUUUUUUAUUUUUUUCUGUCUUUUUCAGUACCAGGGAUCGAACUCAAGACUGCCUGCUUGCAAGGCAGGUGCUUAUGCCGCUGAGCUAAAUCCCCAGCCCCUUACAUUCUUUUUUUUUUUUUACAUCAAAUGUUCUUUUUAGCAAAUUUUCUUUUGUUUGUUGAGAAGAGAACUUAUUUUUCUUUUUCUUUGAAUAAUUAUUUUUCUUUUAAUAAUUAAUUUCCAUCUUGACAUCAUUUCCCAUGUUGAAGGUAUAAACUAAAGAUUUUAGAGACUUCCAGUUCUUUUUAAUAUUCUUCACAAAUUUGACUCUGAAAGUACUUUAUUGCUAUAUUGAUUGUAUGGGGCACUGCAUGCAUACAAACCUUGCAUCUUCUUCAGUACAUAAAGAGAUAUACUGUUUGCGUAACUCCUUUUGUGAGAGACAGACAAUACUUCUGGAGAUCAUACUUUGGGGUGAAAUCUUUGCAUAUGUGAUAGUAAUCAACAAUGGUUUGUGAUUACUCUUGUUGAAAGACUAAGAUUAUUCAUCAUACUAUUCCAUAGGAGCUGGCUGCAAAGCUGGAUUUUCACAGUGGCCAAGCAGAAUGAAGUUCUACAUUUUUCUUUUUGAUCUAUUUGCAAAAUAAGCAGUUUGUGAUGAUUGUUGUGUUUAUGCUUGUAGAAAUAUAUAUCAUUGUUUCUUAUUUUAUUGUGUAGAGUGGCUUAUGAAGUGUUCUGUCAUGCUUUUAGAUUUCUCAAAAUAAAUUUCCUUUAAAAUAUAAAUAAAU